GAUGAAGAACGUAGCGAAAUGCGAUAAGUAAUGCGAAUUGCAGGAUUCCAGUGAGUCAUCGAAUCUUUGAACGCACAUUGCGCCCUUUGGUAUUCCGAAGGGCAUGCCUGUUCGAGCGUCAUUAUCACCCCUCAAGCCCUCGGCUUGGUGUUGGACGGUUUGGUGGAGGCCCCCUCGGGGGCUCCUGCCCCUCCCAAAGACAAUGACGGCGGCCUCGUUGGACCCCCGGUACACUGAGUUCUUCACGGGACACGUAUCGGACACAUGGGUUUACGGGACACGGUCUGCCUCCCCUCAGGGAGAAUCUUUCUAAGGUUGACCUCGGAUCAGGUAGGGAUACCCGCUGAACUUAAGCAUAUCAAUAAGCGGAGGA
rnacentral:misc_RNA from 1 species